rnacentral:lncRNA from 1 species
AAUGGGCUAAUCCAAGGCUUCCGGGAUUUCCGCAAUCAAUUGCGGUGGCUCCUUCCGGAUUUUGACGUGAACCUGCUCCAACCGGGAGCAGGGGUCGAGAGGGGUGAUGCGGCCGAGGUGAUCCCCGAAGUCACCGAGGUCGCUUCCGAGGUCGCUCCUGCUGCUGCCGAGGCCGCCGAAGAGGCCCCGAUUGGUGAACCAGCUACUCCUGGUGCUGCUGGAGCCGAAGUAGUCGAGCUUGAGACUUGAUGUAAUUUUUGUUGUUUUUUGUAAAGUCGGGAUGGCCCCCCAUACUUGUAGGGGCUAAACCCGAAUUUUUGUACUUAGCCUACGGGCCUUUUUUGAAAUGAAUAUACUUUCUUGAAAACUCGUCUGCUAAGUUUCUCUGCUCGGAUCCAUUUUAGGUUCCGAGGGUAUGGGCUCUAGGGCCUCAGCUUUAGUCCCACAUCGGGUAAUUAGCGGAAAGGUCUGUUUCUCAAUAGCGUAGCCUGGUCCCUUUAAACAUCUUAAAUGGGGGGUGCAAACACCUCUUCUCACCGAGGGCCCUUUUGCGGGACAAAACCGUGAGGGUAGGGGGCAACCUCCGCGGACCCCCGCGCCGUCAGGGCUCGGGACUGUCAUUGGGCCACGGCCCUGGGCGACCUCACGCAGACCCGAAGCGGCAAUCCCAGAGCGAACAAUACCUCGGGGAGGACGCGGAUGCUUUUCCUGCUCGCUCGGUGUGCGGGCUGGUGUCGGGGUUCCGACCCCACAUCAGAUGGCGCUAGAGGAAGGGCCCCGGCCACGCACAGACCUUCCCGCUCGG